rnacentral:rRNA from 1 species
UACGAAGGGGGCUAGCGUUGCUCGGAUUGACUGGGCGUAAAGGGCGCGUAGGCGGAUAGUACAGUCAGGCGUGAAAUUCCUGGGCUCAACCUGGGGGCUGCGUUUGAUACGUGUUGUCUGGAGUUCGGAAGAGGGUCGUGGAAUUCCCAGUGUAGAGGUGAAAUUCGUAGAUAUUGGGAAGAACACCGGUGGCGAAGGCGGCUCUCUGGACCGAGACUGACGCUGAGGCGCGAAAGCGUGGGGAGCAAACAGG